rnacentral:rRNA from 1 species
CAGCCGCCGCGGUAAUACGAAGGGUGCAAGCGUUAAUCGGAAUUACUGGGCGUAAAGCGCGCGUAGGUGGUUCAUUAAGUUGGAUGUGAAAGCCCUGGGCUCAACCUGGGAACUGCAUCCAAAACUGGUGAGCUAGAGUACGGUAGAGGGUAGUGGAAUUUCCUGUGUAGCGGUGAAAUGCGUAGAUAUAGGAAGGAACACCAGUGGCGAAGGCGACUACCUGGACUGAUACUGACACUGAGGUGCGAAAGCGUGGGGAGCAAACAGGAUUAGAUACCCGCGUAGUCCCUGUCUCUUAUAA